UAGGCCUAUAGUUGCCAAAGUUGAUAAUGUGAUUGCCAUAACUAAAGCUGUUGUGGCAUUGCAUAACUUCCUUAUGAGCAUAAAUGAAGAUGACGAUUCAAAUCUAUACUGUCCACCAUCAUUUGCUGAUCAAGAUGGGAAAAUGGGUAAUGAGUUUAAACCUGGUGAGUGGCGACAAGAUGCAAAUUGUAUGAAUGGAUUGGGUGACAUUACAGAUGUUGGUGCAUCAAAUAACUAUGGUGCAGAAGCUAAGUGGCAUUAGUGAUGUGAUGGAUUUUCAUACGAAAGGGGUUUUUCACUUAUGUAGUUAGCAAUACAUGUUUAAGCUGUAAUUUUAAAAUAAAUGAUUUCACUUGCUAUA